AUUGGGUUUAAAGGGUCCGUAGGCUGAUCUGUAAGUCAGUGGUGAAAUCUCACAGCUUAACUGUGAAACUGCCAUUGAUACUGCAGUUCUUGAGUGUUGUUGAAGUAGCUGGAAUAAGUAGUGUAGCGGUGAAAUGCAUAGAUAUUACUUAGAACACCAAUUGCGAAGGCAGGUUACUAAGCAACAACUGACGCUGAUGGACGAAAGCGUGGGGAGCGAACAGGAUUAGAUACCCUGGUAGUCCACGCCGUAAACGAUGCUAACUCGUUUUUGGGGCGCAAGCUUCAGAGACUAAGCGAAAGUGAUAAGUUAGCCACCUGGGGAGUACGAACGCAAGUUUGAAACUCAAAGGAAUUGACGGGGGCCCGCACAAGCGGUGGAUUAUGUGGUUUAAUUCGAUGAUACGCGAGGAACCUUACCAAGGCUUAAAUGGGAAAUGACAGGUUUAGAAAUAGACUUUUCUUCGGACAUUUUUCAAGGUGCUGCAUGGUUGUCGUCAGCUCGUGCCGUGAGGUGUUAGGUUAAGUCCUGCAACGAGCGCAACCCCUGUCACUAGUUGCCAUCAUUAAGUUGGGGACUCUAGUGAGACUGCCUACGCAAGUAGAGAGGAAGGUGGGGAUGACGUCAAAUCAUCACGGCCCUUACGCCUUGGGCCACACACGUAAUACAAUGGCCGGUACAGAGGGCAGCUACACUGCGAAGUGAUGCAAAUCUCGAAAGCCGGUCUCAGUUCGGAUUGGAGUCUGCAACUCGACUCUAUGAAGCUGGAAUCGCUAGUAAUCGCGCAUCAGCCAUGGCGCGGUGAAUACGUUCCCGGGCCUUGUACACACCGCCCGUCAAGCCAUGGAAGUCUGGGGUACCUGAAGUCGGUGACCGUAACAGGAGCUGCCUAGGUUAAAACAGA
rnacentral:rRNA from 1 species